CUCCAUCUUCUUGCUAUGACAACCUUAGUUUGAUCUUGAACAAAAACCAAAAGAGAAAGAUCUAGAGUUUGUAAGAAAAUUUCCUUCAAUCUUUGAGGUUGUUUCAAGCCUAAAGCUUCUAUUGUGGUGGUUUGUUUGGUGACCAAAGCAACUUGUAAGUAAGGUUUGGGCAACGACGGUGAUUGUAACUGAGACGUUUGACGUCGAUUAUUACUUUUGCUUGACAGAUCGGGAAGGGAUUUGACCGAGGGCUUUCUUAGCUUUAUUUUGCCGUUCUUGCGUUUUGAGAUUGUAAUUUUCGUUUAAGCAGACUUGUAAGCUUAAAUUCUUAAGGGUGAUUUAUAUUAUGUAAUUUUGAGUGAAGCGUGGUAAGUUGGCAUGCGAUAAUAGAUGUACUAAGUUGAAUUGUUGGAUUA